GCGCUGAAGUUGUACUGCUCCAUGACAAGUAGCUUCAGGGCAGAUAGAUAUGUACAGAUUACUACAUCAUCGGAGAGUAAGAUUGUGGUGGUGUUGCGGUCAGAGUGGAACCAAACUUCCUAUAGCGGCUCAGUCUAGUAUG